rnacentral:rRNA from 1 species
UACGUAGGGGGCGAGCGUUGUCCGGAUUCACUGGGCGUAAAGAGCUCGUAGGUGGCUUGGUUAGUCGGGUGUGAAACCUCCAGGCUUAACCUGGAGUCGCCACUCGAUACUGCCAUGGCUAGAGUCCGGUAGGGGACCAUGGAAUUCCUGGUGUAGCGGUGAAAUGCGCAGAUAUCAGGAGGAACACCAGUAGCGAAGGCGGUGGUCUGGGCCGGUACUGACACUGAGGAGCGAAAGCGUGGGGAGCGAACAGG